rnacentral:rRNA from 1 species
ACGAACGCUGGCGGCGUGCUUAACACAUGCAAGUCGAACGGAAAGGCCCUGCUUUUGUGGGGUGCUCGAGUGGCGAACGGGUGAGUAACACGUGAGUAACCUGCCCUUGACUUUGGGAUAACUUCAGGAAACUGGGGCUAAUACCGGAUAGGAGCUCCUGCUGCAUGGUGGGGGUUGGAAAGUUUCGGCGGUUGGGGAUGGACUCGCGGCUUAUCAGCUUGUUGGUGGGGUAGUGGCUUACCAAGGCUUUGACGGGUAGCCGGCCUGAGAGGGUGACCGGCCACAUUGGGACUGAGAUACGGCCCAGACUCCUACGGGAGGCAGCAGUGGGGAAUAUUGCACAAUGGGCGGAAGCCUGAUGCAGCAACGCCGCGUGCAGGAUGACGGCCUUCGGGUUGUAAACCGCUUUCGCCUGUGACGAAGCGUGAGUGACGGUAAUGGGUAAAGAAGCACCGGCUAACUACGCG